rnacentral:rRNA from 1 species
GACGAACCGUGCGAACGUUGUUCGGAAUCACUGGGCUUAAAGGGCGCGUAGGCGGGCAAUCAAGUCUGAGGUGAAAUCCUCCAGCUUAACUGGAGAAGUGCCCUGGAUACUGAUUGCCUCGAGGAUGGUAGGGGCAUCUGGAACUAGCGGUGGAGCGGUGAAAUGCGUUGAUAUCGCUAGGAACUCCGGUGGCGAAGGCGAGGUGCUGGACCAUUUCUGACGCUGAGGCGCGAAAGCCAGGGGAGCGAACGGG